UGAGGAAUAUUGGGCAAUGCCCGCAAGGGUGACCCAGCAACGCCGCGUGGAGGAUGAAUGUCGUAAGAUUGUAAACUCCUGUUAGAGGGGAAGAAUAGUACCGGUUGGACCGGUAUAUGACUGUACCCUCAGAGAAAGCCCCGGCUAACUACGUGCCAGCAGCCGCGGUAAUACGUAGGGGGCAAGCGUUGUCCGGAUUUACUGGGUGUAAAGGGCGCGCAGGCGGGAUAAAAAGUCAGUGGUGAAAUCCUAAAGCUUAACUGUAGAACUGCCUGUGNUACUUUUAUUCGUGAGUUCGGGAGAGAGAGACGGAAUUCCAGGUGUAGUGGUGAAAGCCGUAGAUAUCUGGAAGAACACCAGUUGCGAAGGCGGUCUCUUGGUCCGACACGGACGCUGAGGCGCGAAAGCGUGGGGAGCAAACA
rnacentral:rRNA from 1 species